rnacentral:misc_RNA from 1 species
GAAUUCUCAACCAUGGGCGGCGCCCAUUGGCUUGGACUUGGGAGCUGCUGGCGUCGCAAGACGUCGGCUCUCCUCAAACGCAUUAGCGGACCCGCGUGCACGGCCUCGUUCGACGUGAUAACGAUCGUCGUCUCGGGCUGGAGCGUCUCUGCUUCCAACCCCCCCCCCCCUCAGCUACUAGUCCCUCCGGGGCGAACGCGAGCGGCCUGCUUCC